rnacentral:rRNA from 1 species
UACGGGGGGGGCAAGCGUUGUUCGGAAUUACUGGGCGUAAAGGGCGCGUAGGCGGCCUGCUAAGUCAUACGUGAAAUCCCCCGGCUCAACCGGGGAACUGCGUGUGAUACUGGCGGGCUUGAAUUCGGGAGAGGGAUGCGGAAUUCCAGGUGUAGCGGUGAAAUGCGUAGAUAUCUGGAGGAACACCGGUGGCGAAGGCGGCCUUCUGGACAGUGACUGACGCUGAGACGCGAAAGCGUGGGGAGCAAACAGG